rnacentral:rRNA from 1 species
GGAGUUUGGGCCGUGUCUCAGUCCCAAUGUGGCCGUUCACCCUCUCAGGCCGGCUACUGAUCGUCGCCUUGGUGAGCCAUUACCUCACCAACUAGCUAAUCAGACGCGGGUCCAUCCUUUACCGAUAAAUCUUUUCACACUGUAUCAUGCGAUACUGUGCGCUUAUGCGGUAUUAGCAGUCGUUUCCAACUGUUGUCCCCCUGUAAAGGGCAGGUUACCCACGCGUUACUCACCCGUCCGCCACUAAGUCUUGGCUAUCAAUUGACCGAAGUCUCUUUCAAGCUAGCUUCGUUCGACUUGCAUGUGUUAGGCACGCCGCCAGCGUUCAUC